GAUGAACGCUGGCGGCGUGCCUAAUACAUGCAAGUCGAGCGAACGGACGAGAAGCUUGCUUCUCUGAUGUUAGCGGCGGACGGGUGAGUAACACGUGGAUAACCUACCUAUAAGACUGGGAUAACUUCGGGAAACCGGAGCUAAUACCGGAUGAUAUUUUGAACCGCAUGGUUCAAAAGUGAAAGACGGUCUUGCUGUCACUUAUAGAUGGAUCCGCGCUGCAUUAGCUAGUUGGUAAGGUAACGGCUUACCAAGGCAACGAUGCAUAGCCGACCUGAGAGGGUGAUCGGCCACACUGGAACUGAGACACGGUCCAGACUCCUACGGGAGGCAGCAGUAGGGAAUCUUCCGCAAUGGGCGAAAGCCUGACGGAGCAACGCCGCGUGAGUGAUGAAGGUCUUCGGAUCGUAAAACUCUGUUAUUAGGGAAGAACAUAUGUGUAAGUAACUGUGCACAUCUUGACGGUACCUAAUCAGAAAGCCACAGCUAACUACGUG
rnacentral:rRNA from 1 species